rnacentral:rRNA from 1 species
ACAUGCAAGUCGAGCGCACCUUCGGGGCCAGCGGCCGACGGGUUAGUCACGCGUGGGAAUGUACCCAGAUCUACGGAAUAGCCUCGGGAAACUGAGAUUAAUACCGUAUACGCCCUUCGGGGGAAAGAUUUAUCGGAUUUGGAUCAGCCCGCGUUAGAUUAGAUAGUUGGUGGGGUAAUGGCCUACCAAGUCUACGAUCUAUAGCUGGUUUUAGAGGAUGAUCAGCAACACUGGGACUGAGACACGGCCCAGACUCCUACGGGAGGCAGCAGUGGGGAAUCUUAGACAAUGGGCGCAAGCCUGAUCUAGCCAUGCCGCGUGUGUGAUGAAAGCCUUAGGGUCGUAAAGCACUUUCGCCAGGGAUGAUAAUGACAGUACCUGGUAAAGAAACCCCGGCUAACUCCGUGCCAGCAGCCGCGGUAAUACGGAGGGGGUUAGCGUUGUUCGGAAUUACUGGGCGUAAAGCGCACGUAGGCGGAUCAAAAAGUUGGGGGUGAAAUCCCCGGGGCUCAACCCCGGAACUGCCUCAAGAACUCCUGGUCCUGAAUUCCAGAGAAGCGAGUUGGAAUUCCGAAUUGUAGAAGGUAAAAUCCGUANAUAUUCCGGAGGAACACAAUUGGCCAAA